rnacentral:lncRNA from 1 species
GGGGCUGCAGUGCCAGCUGCCAGAGCCGGUGCAGGUGCCUGGCAGGAAAACUGAGAAGCAGCCUCUCUAGAAAGCCACAGCCCAGGGAGCUCUGAUCUUUUUUGUUUGUUUUUGUUUUUUUGAGACGGAGUUCCCCUCUUGUUGUCCAGGCUGGAAUGCAAUGGCUAGAUCUUGGCUCACCACAACCUCCACCUCCCAGGUUCAAGUGAUUCUCCUGCCUCAGUCUCCCGAGUAGCUGGGAUUACAGGUAUGCGCCACCACACCUGGCUAAUUUUGUAUUUUUAGUAGAGAUGGGGUUUCUCCAUGUUGGUCGGGCUGGUCUCAACCUCUCAACCUCAGGUGAUCCGCCCACCUCGGCCUCCCAAAGUGUUGGGAUUACAGGCGUGAGCCACUGUGCCCAGCACUCUGAUGUUCUUUUUUGAUUUGGGAAAUUGUUUUCUGCUCUCUUUUUCUUAUUUGGUUUAUACUUAGCAGCCUGCAAAAGGAGACCUUGCCCUCUGGGGUUUUUACACUAAGGCCACAGGUGAGUGAGUGCUCCCAGCCUGGGCACCCCAAGGAGGCCAGUGUUGGCCCCCAAGCCCAGCCCAAGGCAUGCGGACACCAUGGCCCCUCCCUCCUCUCAGGGCUGAGAGCCAGCAGCAAGAGCUCACCAUGCCUGCAGCCACCGUGUGCACCCCCAUCAAGCCUGGAGGAGGCUGUGCCCUGUCCUCAGGACCUCACAGUGUGCGUGGGGUCUCCCCUGUCCCUGACCCCUCGCUGUUCUCAGGACCUCACAGUGUGGGUGGGGUCUCCCCUGUCCCUGACCCCUCGCUGUUCUCAGGACCUCACAGUGUGGGUGGGGUCUCCCCUGUCCCUGACCCCUCGCUCUCAUCAGGACCUCACAGUGUGGGUGGGGUCUCCCCUGUCCCUGACCCCUCGCUCUCAUCAGGACCUCACAGUGUGGGUGGGGUCUCCCCUGUCCCUGACCCCUCGCUGUUCUCAGGACCUCACAGUGUGGGUGGGGUCUCCCCUGUCCCUGACCCCUCGCUCUCAUCAGGACCUCACAGUGUGGGUGGGGUCUCCCCUGUCCCUGACCCCUCGCUCUCAUCAGGACCUCACAGUGUGGGUGGGGUCUCCUGUGUUUCUAACCUCUCACUGUCAGCAAGUCCUUGCAAUAUCAGUUGAGGCCUUUUGUGUCACUUGGCCAUUUCUUGUCCACUGGACCUCAAAACUAACAUGAUAUACUGUAGUAAGAAUGUAGAAACUUUCCCACUAAAAUCACGACCAAGGUCCGUACGUCCGCUCUCACCACCUCCUUUCAGCACUUUAAGCUCUAACAGAUGGAACAAGGCAAGAAAAGGAAGUUAAAGUUUAAUGAUACUGAAAGAAGAAACAAACUCUCUUUGUUCAUAAAUGACAUUUUUCAGGUAGAAAGUGUAAAAAGGGAUCAAGAAAACCCCCUAGAAUAAUGAACAACUGUUCAAGAUUUCAAAAUAUACAAAAGUUAAUCACUUUCCUGUAUACCGACAAUGGAUGAGUGGAUUUGAAGUUAAAAACAAAAUACUUCUACAUUAGCACCCCCAAACAAUAAAAUACUUACAUACAAGUCUAAAAAAAUGUGUACUCUUUCUAUAUAUAUGAGAAAAACUACAAAACCCUGA